rnacentral:rRNA from 1 species
GACGAACGCUGGCGGCGUGCUUAACACAUGCAAGUCGAACGGGAAGGCCCUGUUUUUGUGUGGUACCCGAGGGGCGAACGGGUGUGUAACGCGAGAGUAACCUGUGCUGGACUGUGGUAUAACUUCAGGAAACUUGGGAUAAUAGGGGAAGGUAGUUACUGUGGCUAGGUUGGGGAUGAAAGGAGUCGGCGGCGGGGAGGCGAGCGUCGGCUUAGCAAGUUGGUGGUGGGGCGGUGGCUUACCGAGGCGUUGAGUGGUAGGCCGCCUGAGAGGGUGACCGGCCCCAUUGGGACUGAGAGACGGCCCAGACUCCUACGGGAGACAGAGGUGGGGAAUAUUGUGCAAUGGGCGGAAACCUGAUGCAGAACAGCCGUGUGCGGGAUAACAGCCUUCGGGUUGUAAACCGCUUUCGCAUGAGACGAAGCGUGAGUGACGGUAAUGGGUAAAGAAGCACCGGCUAACUACGUG